rnacentral:rRNA from 1 species
AUGAACGCUGGCGGCGUGCCUAAUACUUGCAAGUCGAGCGAACAGACGAGGAGCUUGCUCCUCUGACGUUAGCGGCGGACGGGUGAGUAACACGUGGAUAACCUACCUAUAAGACUGGGAUAACUUCGGGAAACCGGAGCUAAUACCGGAUAAUAUAUUGAACCGCAUGGUUCAAUAGUGAAAGACGGUUUUGCUGUCACUUAUAGAUGGAUCCGCGCCGCAUUAGCUAGUUGGUAAGGUAACGGCUUACCAAGGCAACGAUGCGUAGCCGACCUGAGAGGGUGAUCGGCCACACUGGAACUGAGACACGGUCCAGACUCCUACGGGAGGCAGCGGUAGGGAAUCUUCCGCAAUGGGCGAAAGCCUGACGGAGCAACGCCGCGUGAGUGAUGAAGGUCUUCGGAUCGUAAAACUCUGUUAUUAGGGAAGAACAAAUGUGUAAGUAACUAUGCACGUCUUGACGGUACCUAAUCAGAAAGCCACGGCUAACUACGUG